rnacentral:tRNA from 1 species
GGAAUAUAGCUCAGUUGGUAGAGUGCUUGCCUCACAUGCACAAGUACCUGGGUUCAAUCCCAAGCACCA